AUACGGAGGGUGCAAGCGUUACUCGGAAUCACUGGGCGUAAAGCGCGCGCAGGCGGUCUUUUAAGUUGGAUGUGUAAGCCUACGGCUCAACCGUAGAACUGCAUCCAAAACUAUUAGACUAGAGUGUGGGAGAGGAAGAUGGAAUUAGUUGUGUAGGGGUAAAAUCCGUAGAGAUAACUAGGAAUACCAAAAGCGAAGGCAAUCUUCUGGAACACUACUGACGCUGAGGCGCGAAAGCGUGGGAAGCAAACAGGAUUAGAAACCCCGGUAGUCC
rnacentral:rRNA from 1 species